GACGAACGCUGGCGGCGUGCUUAACACAUGCAAGUCGAACGGUGAUGCGCAGCUUGCUGCGCGGAUCAGUGGCGAACGGGUGAGUAACACGUGAGUAACCUGCCCUUGACUUCAGGAUAAGCGUUGGAAACGACGUCUAAUACUGGAUAUGACUUCUUCCGGCAUCGGGAGGGGUGGAAAGAAUUUCGGUUGAGGAUGGACUCGCGGCCUAUCAGCUUGUUGGUGGGGUGAUGGCCUACCAAGGCGACGACGGGUAGCCGGCCUGAGAGGGUGACCGGCCACACUGGGACUGAGACACGGCCCAGACUCCUACGGGAGGCAGCAGUGGGGAAUAUUGCACAAUGGGCGCAAGCCUGAUGCAGCAACGCCGCGUGAGGGAUGACGGCCUUCGGGUUGUAAACCUCUUUUAGCAGGGAAGAAGCGAAAGUGACGGUACCUGCAGAAAAAGCACCGGCUAACUACGUGCCAGCAGCCGCGGUAACAC
rnacentral:rRNA from 1 species